GUCCCUAAUGUCUUUUGGAACCAGGUCCCACAUCCCUGCGACAUAAUUUUACGCAGUUUAUUGUUGGAGACUGGGCUGCUGUAGAACAAGCAUUUCUGCUAAAGUGGUGGAGGCAAUGCAAGCCUCCAGUUCACACCAUACCAGGAGUACUGGACAGUGACUUGCUGGGAGUGUCCUUUUAAUGCUCUCUCCCAGUCACUACCCCAAUCCUUGUCAUGAAUUGGUAUAGCACGAGUAUAGCUCCAUCUCAGACACAAAAUUAAAUGCCCUUUGAGUUAAUUCAACUGCCCAGGCUACAUACGAGGUAAGUUGCACACAUACACCCAAGCCCUCAUAUCCUUAAGCCAUCUAGUCCCCCCUCAAUUCUGUAAGGUACACUAACAGGGUUAUUCAAGUGAGCAUUGUUGGGCAUUCAAAGUGAUUUCAAAUGAAAGGGUAAAGUAGCCAAAGCUGGGAGCACAAAUUGAAAAUUUAGCCAGUUUGCACUCCAAAUUUAAGGCCAAAGUAGCCAAAUUGAAUUCAAU